AGAAUUUCGAGUUUUUCUUUCCCACUCGAUUAGCCCAGUCAGGUCCAGAUGACAACUUCCGCUUUGCCUUCUGUGGAGAGUUGUUCCGAGGUGUCUUUCCCCUUGAGUGUAGAACCAAGGUUUCAGGAAUGGCAAAUUGGAUGCAUCUUGAAUGCACUUCUUCCAGUGACAGCGGCUGCUUGAAAUCCUGAGAUGAGAAGGAUUCUGAGGACACUUGGCUCAGUAGAGGGUUACACAGCUGAAAAUGAUACAGACCGUGCACUCAAGAAACAAUCGACUACUGAAAAAACAGAUAAAUAAACAGGCAGCUAGACUAAAAUAUAAAUGUUAUGAUAGAAGUAGGUGAUUCCUAACUCAUUAAUCUUUUGCCUUUUGUGUCUCUCGGGAUUUGGGAACCUUGACAUCAAUAAAAUCCCUAUAUCUGGUGGACUUCCUUUUUA